CCAGACUCCUACGGGAGGCAGCAGUGAGGAAUAUUGGUCAAUGGCCGGAAGGCUGAACCAGCCAAGCCGCGUGAAGGACGAAGGUGCCAAGCAUUGUAAACUUCUUUUGUCAAGGGACAAAAUCAGGCUCGAGAGCCUGACCGAGGGUACUUGAAGAAAAAGCAUCGGCUAACUCCGUGCCAGCAGCCGCGGUAAUACGGAGGAUGCGAGCGUUAUCCGGAUUUAUUGGGUUUAAAGGGUGCGCAGGCGGCGUGUUAAGUCAGCGGAAAAGGCCCGGGGCUCAACCCCGGCGAGCCGUUGAAACUGGCGGGCUGGAGUUGGAGAGAAGUACGCGGAAUGCGCGGUGUAGCGGUGAAAUGCUUAGAUAUCGCGCAGAACCCCGAUUGCGAAGGCAGCGUACCGGCUCCACACUGACGCUGAGGCACGAAAACGUGGGUAUCGAACAGGAUUAGAUACCCUGGUA
rnacentral:rRNA from 1 species